UAGGGAAUCUUCCACAAUGGACGCAAGUCUGAUGGAGCAACGCCGCGUGAGUGAAGAAGGUUUUCGGAUCGUAAAGCUCUGUUGUUGGUGAAGAAGGAUAGAGGCAGUAACUGGUCUUUAUUUGACGGUAAUCAACCAGAAAGUCACGGCUAACUAAGUGCCAGCAGCCGCGGUAAUACGUAGGUGGCAAGCGUUGUCCGGAUUUAUUGGGCGUAAAGCGAGCGCAGGCGGAAUGAUAAGUCUGAUGUGAAAGCCCACGGCUCAACCGUGGAACUGCAUCGGAAACUGUCAUUCUUGGGUGCAGAAGAGGAGAGUGGAAUUCCAUGUGUAGCGGUGGAAUGCGUAGAUAUAUGGAAGAACACCAGUGGCGAAGGCGGCUCUCUGGUCUGCAACUGACGCUGAGGCUCGAAAGCAUGGGUAGCGAACAGG
rnacentral:rRNA from 1 species